rnacentral:rRNA from 1 species
GUCGAACGGACUUACAUUGAAGCCUAGCGAUAUGUAAGUUAGUGGCGGACGGCCGAUUAACGCGUGGGUAGCCUGCCUUGUACUGGGGGACAACAGUUGGAAACGACUGCUAAUACCGCAUAAGCGCACAGCUUCGCAUGAAGCAGUGUGAAAAACUCCGGUGGUACAAGAUGGACCCGCGUCUGAUUAGCUGGUUGGUGAGGUAACGGCCCACCAAGGCGACGAUCAGUAGCCGGCCUGAGAGGGUGAACGGCCACAUUGGGACUGAGACACGGCCCAAACUCCUACGGGAGGCAGCAGUGGGGAAUAUUGCACAAUGGGGGAAACCCUGAUGCAGCAACGCCGCGUGAGUGAAGAAGUAUUUCGGUAUGUAAAGCUCUAUCAGCAGGAAAGAAGAUGACGGUACCUGACUAAGAAGCCCCGGCUAACUACGUGCCAGCAGCCGCGGUAAUACGUAGGGGGCAAGCGUUAUCCGGAUUUACUGGGUGUAAAGGGAGCGUAGACGGUUUUGCAAGUCUGAAGUGAAAGCCCGGGGCUUAACCCCGGGACUGCUUUGGAAACUGUAGAACUAGAGUGCAGGAGAGGUAAGUGGAAUUCCUAGUGUAGCGGUGAAAUGCGUAGAUAUUAGGAGGAACACCAGUGGCGAAGGCGGCUUACUGGACUGUAACUGACGUUGAGGCUCGAAAGCGUGGGGAGCAAACAGGAUUAGAUACCCUGGUAGUCCACGCCGUAAACGAUGAUUACUAGCUGUCGGGGGUUACCCCCCU